rnacentral:rRNA from 1 species
CUACGGGUGGCUCCAGCUAAGAAUCUUCCGCAAUGGACGAAAGUCUGACGGAGCGACGCCGCGUGAACGAUGAAGGCCGUGAGGUUGUAAAGUUCUUUUCCGAGGGGAGAAUAAGGAUGGCAGGGAAUGGCCGUCUGAUGACGUGAACUCGGGAAUAAGCCCCGGCUAACUACGUGCCAGCAGCCGCGGUAACACGUAGGGGGCGAGCGUUGUUCGGAAUCAUUGGGCGUAAAGGGUGCGCAGGCGGUUAUGCAAGUCGGGUGUGAAAGGUCUCGGCUCAACCGAGGAAACGCGCUGGAAACUGUGUAACUAGAGUACAGGAGGGGGAGUUGGAAUUCCAGGUGUAGGGGUGAAAUCUGUAGAUAUCUGGAAGAACACCGGUGGCGAAGGCGAACUUCUGGCCAUGUACUGACGCUGAGGCACGAAGGCGUGGGGAGCAAACAGGAUUAGAUACCCUCGUAGUC